UACGAGGGGUGCAAGCGUUAAUCGGAAUUACUGGGCGUAAAGCGCGCGUAGGCGGUUAUCUAAGCGAGAUGUGAAAGCCCUGGGCUUAACCUGGGAACUGCAUUUCGAACUGGGUGACUAGAGUACAGCAGAGGAUAGUGGAAUUUCAGGUGUAGCGGUGAAAUGCGUAGAGAUCUGAAGGAACAUCAGUGGCGAAGGCGACUGUCUGGGCUGAUACUGACGCUGAGGUGCGAAAGCGUGGGGAGCAAACAGG
rnacentral:rRNA from 1 species